rnacentral:rRNA from 1 species
AAGUGGGGGACCUUAGGGCCUCACGCCAUCAGAUGUACCCAGAUGAGAUUAGCUAGUAGGUAAGGUAAUGGCUUACCUAGGCGAUGAUCUCUAGCUGGUCUGAGAGGAUGACCAGCCACACUGGAACUGAGAUACGGUCUAGACUCCUACGGGAGGCAGCAGUGGGGAAUAUUGCACAAUGGGCGCAAGCCUGAUGCAGCCAUGCCGCGUGUAUGAAGAAAGCCUUCGGGUUGUAAAGUACUUUCAGCGAGGAAGAAGGCAUUGUAGUUAAUAACUAUAAUGAUUGACGUUACUCGCAGAAGAAGCACCGGCUAACUCCGUGCCAGCAGCCGCGGUAAUACGGAGGGUGCGAGCGUUAAUCGGAAUUACUGGGCUUAAAGAGUACGCAGGCGGUUAAUUAAGUCAGAUGUGAAAUCCCCGAGCUUAACUUGGGAAUUGCAUUUGAAACUGGUCAACUAGAGUUUUGUAGAGGGGGGUAGAAUUCUAGGUGUAGCGGUGAAAUGCGUAGAUAUCUAGAGGAAUACCAGUGGCGAAGGCGGCCCCCUGGACAAAAACUGACGCUCAGGUACGAAAGCAUGGGGAGCAAACAGGAUUAGAUACCCUGGUAGUCCAUGCCGUAAACGAUGUCGACUUGGAGGUUGUGCCCUUGAGGCGUGGCUUCCGGAGCUAACGCGUUAAGUCGACCGCCUGGGGAGUACGGCCGCAAGGUUAAAACUCAAAUGAAUUGACGGGGGCCCGCACAAGCGGUGGAGCAUGUGGUUUAAUUCGAUGCAACGCGAAAAACCUUACCUACUCUUGACAUUCAGAGAAUUUGCUAGAGAUAGUUUAGUGCCUUCGGGAACUCUGAAACAGGUGCUGCAUGGCUGUCGUCAGCUCGUGUUGUGAAAUGUUGGGUUAAGUCCCGCAACGAGCGCAACCCUUAUCCUUUGUUGCCAGCACGUAAAGGUGGGAACUCAAAGGAGACUGCCGGUGAUAAACUGGAGGAAGGUGGGGAUGACGUCAAGUCAUCAUGGCCCUUACGAGUAGGGCUACACACGUGCUACAAUGGCAUAUACAAAGAGCAGCUAACUCGCGAGAGCAAGCGAACCUCAUAAAGUAUGUCGUAGUCCGGAUUGGAGUCUGCAACUCGACUCCAUAAAGUCGGAAUCGCUAGU